GAUGAACGCUGGCGGCGUGCCUAAUACAUGCAAGUCGAGCGAAUGGAUUAAGAGCUUGCUCUUAUGAAGUUAGCGGCGGACGGGUGAGUAACACGUGGGUAACCUGCCCAUAAGACUGGGAUAACUCCGGGAAACCGGGGCUAAUACCGGAUAACAUUUUGAACCGCAUGGUUCGAAAUUGAAAGGCGGCUUCGGCUGUCACUUAUGGAUGGACCCGCGUCGCAUUAGCUAGUUGGUGAGGUAACGGCUCACCAAGGCAACGACGCGUAGCCGACAUGAGAGGGUGAUCGGCCACACUGGGACUGAGACACGGCCCAGACUCCUACGGGAGGCAGCAGUAGGGAAUCUUCCGCAAUGGACGAAAGUCUGACGGAGCAACGCCGCGUGAGUGAUGAAGGCUUUCGGGUCGUAAAACUCUGUUGUUAGGGAAGAACAAGUACUAGUUGAAUAAGCUGGCACCUUGACGGUACCUAACCAGAAAGCCACGGCUAACUACGUGCCAGCCGCCGCGGUAA
rnacentral:rRNA from 1 species